GCUUAGUUUAAUGUGCUGUGAUUUGUUAUACGAUCAUCUGCCGCCUCAAUUUUUCGAACAUUAUCAUCCACAGUGCGAGCUUACCUGCGUAUUUGUUUUGCAUAGGUAUUGUGUUUCUUUAUAAAGAAAACCAAUUAAAACAUGACUGGUGGUGCAUGCAUGCUACACUCAAGGAAGAUGAACCAAAUAUAAACAUUCAUUGCACCUCCAGCAGGUUCGCUAAAACUGGUUCCCUAAAACCAGUCUUAGACGUAAGAGAGAAAGAAUUGCUGAAAAUUUGCCACUCCUCCACAGGUUCCCUAAACCCAUUCCCUAUUUAUUUUUUUGCAUCACAAUGGCAUGUGGGGUCCAUCCGUCAGUGACAUAACCGGUCUCUUCUUCUUCCUGUGUCUCCUUCUUCCCCCAACUCCCAUCCUUUGCCAGAGCUCCAGCCGCGCUCCACCGACUCGCCGCCCGCAAGCACGCCGCCGCUACGGCCAGGCCCUGCCGAUCUCUGCGCCGCCGACCGCGCCGCCUCUCGACGGCCCGCACACGCCGGGGCACCGAACCGCCGCCGCCGCCUCUCUGCACGGCCGCACGCGCCGCCAUCGCUCCGCCGUUGCCCGCCGCUCGCUCGCCAUCGUCGCUGCUCUGCAGGCUUGGGCCGCCGUUGCUUCGCCCGCGCCGCCGCUCCACAUGCGCCACCUGCCGCUACCCACGAUUUGGACCGGGAAAUCGCUCGAGGAGCUCCACGGGAGGUGCGGGAUUCCUUCAGAGGGCUCCGGGAGGCGUAGGAGCCUGUGGCUGAGCUCCUCGACGCGGGGGCGGCGCAAAUCAGACGGCAGCGUGGGCCAAUUUUGGAGCGUCGACCGGCGGCGUGGGGGACGGCAGCGCGGGCCAAUUUCGGCAUCUCCUGCCCCAAUUCUAGCUGGGCAUGGGUCGGGGCAAAUUGCGGAAGGGCGGUGUGGUCCUGGGCGAGCCGCAGUUGGCCGGAGAUGGCCGGCAUCGGCGACGAUGGGGUGGGAGCGUGUUCUGGCCAAACGUAACAGAGAUGAAACCGGCAGUUAUUUUGCCGCCGGAGCUUUUCACGUUUUAUGAAAUGAGGAGUCUCGUGGAAGAGGCCAGAGAAUUUAGGAAAGUUCACUAAAAAUUUAGAUAUUGUGAAUCACAUUUCCAACUACGUACCCAUAUUUAAGGAGAAUAUCCAAAAACUGUCAAUAUGGAUAUUUUGUCCAAAAAUCUAGCUCCAGCAGCAUAUCAAACAAAAUUGGAUACUCAUUUUUUUUUGAUAGCUACACAUAUUCUAUCCCUCGAUACCCAAAUUUGGGUAUUCCCAGCUAGACUACCCAAACGACCCAAAACGAAGCGCGCGCACCCAACUGCCACGAGCGGGAACUUUCCGCGCGUCCUGCCUCCCCCGCCGCCCGCGAAAUCGAGCCGCCGCCGGCAAGAUGGAGCAGACCGGCGACCUCCUCGCGCCGCCCGACAGCUCCUCCGUCCUCAUUGGUGCCCCUGCCGGCGUGCCCGUCACCCCCCUGCCCCCAGCCGAGCCCGCAACAGGCGCCGCCCCCAAGCCAAAGGCCCAUCGGCGGCUAGGGCUGGCGCUGCCGCUGGCCGGCGUUCCGUGGCCCCCCUCCGCCACUCCGACGAUGGUCGGGCAUGGCUCCGCCGCCCCUCCCCUGCCGGCUGCGACCACAACAUCGAGGAAGCGGGUUCCCUGUGACCCGUCCGCGCCGGCGUCCAAGCGGCCGGCGAAGAAGGCACCGCCAGCCCCUCCUACGGCCUCCCUGCCUCCUCCUCCUCCUCCUCCUGCAGCCUCUGGCCCCGCUGCACCCGCUCCUCCUCUCCCUCCGGUGGCACCUGCACCUGCCGUGACCGAGGUGUUCGAUGGAAUGCCUGAAAGAAAAUGAACUGAAGUGUGUGCCUUGUGAGAGCCACCCUAAACCAUUAGGAUGAGGAGGCAGGGAGGGGGAGUUGUUGUGUAGAGCAUGGCAAACCAUCACUCUAGAUGCAAUCACCGGUGUUGAGCAACAAAGCAACACCUAUUGGGAACGUAUCCAUGAUCACUACAAGGACAACAACAAGGAGGGCUUGUACCGAUCACGAGUAUCACUCUCACAUAGAUGGCAAACUAUACAAGCGGAUUGCCAAAAGUGGGCAGCAUGUUUGGCACAAGGAACCUGGUGGAGCUGGGGUUUUUUUGUGCAACUUCUAGGUAACGGUGGUAGUCUGAUAGUUAUUUUAGGGAACUUGCUAGAGAUGCUCGACAUAUACCGAUCUUUUCCAAUCUGAACUUCCGUGAUUCAGUUUACCGAAUCACGGAAAUUCAGUUUCGUCCAGCUCGCCGCAGAACAGAAUAUCGAAAAUGCAACCCGAACUUUCGAAUUCAAACAUGGUGCGAAUUAUUUAAACAACAUAACUUGGACGAACACAUCACAUUUCAUACGACAUCAUGUUUUCCAUACGAAAAUACAAAAUCCUAAACAAAAGAUCAGGAGUAAACAACAAAACACGUCGGCACCAUCUUCAUGCCGCGCCGGAAUCUACCUCCGCCAUCUCCGCCUACUCGUCGUCGUCGAAGAUUACGACCACUGGAGUCUUGGAGAGCUUGAUGGCCAACUCGAGGUCGGCCUGCUCCUUUGCA